rnacentral:pre_miRNA from 1 species
CAUGCACCAGUGGGGUCCCUCAGCUUGGCCUGUACCCUCUCGCAAUCCGGGACCCCUCAGGGGCUGUCAGCUGGUUUUGGCCUGAUCCCACAGGCCAGGCUGAGGGACCCCACUGGUGCACA